CGGCUGAGUAACGCGUGGGUGACGUACCUGUUGGUGGGGAAUAACUGCCCGAAAGGGUGGCUAAUUCCGCAUAAGUCCUUCGGUUCAAUCUGAAGGGGAAAGCUUCGCAAGAGGCGCCGAUGGAGCGGCCCGCGUCCGAUUAGCUCGUUGGUGGGGUAACGGCCUACCAAGGCGACGAUCGGUAGCUGGUCUUAGAGGAUGAUCAGCCAGACUGGGACUGAGACACGGCCCAG
rnacentral:rRNA from 1 species